CCUACGGGUGGCAGCAGUGGGGAAUAUUGGGCAAUGGGCGCAAGCCUGACCCAGCAACGCCGCGUGAAGGAAGAAGGCUUUCGGGUUGUAAACUUCUUUUCUCAGGGACGAAGAAAGUGACGGUACCUGAGGAAUAAGCCACGGCUAACUACGUGCCAGCAGCCGCGGUAAUACGUAGGUGGCAAGCGUUAUCCGGAUUUACUGGGUGUAAAGGGCGUGUAGGCGGGAAAGCAAGUCAGAUGUGAAAACCAUGGGCUCAACCUGUGGCCUGCAUUUGAAACUGUUUUUCUUGAGUACUGGAGAGGCAGACGGAAUUCCUAGUGUAGCGGUGAAAGGCGUAGAGAUUAGGAGGAACACCAGUGGCGAGGGCGGUCUGCUGGACAGCAACUGACGCUGAGGCGCGAAAGCGUGGGGAGCAAACAGGAUUAGAUACCCUUGUAGUC
rnacentral:rRNA from 1 species